UCACCAGAGACUAUGAAAGCCAGAAG
rnacentral:piRNA from 1 species